UUCCGGUUGAUCCCGCCGGAGGUUACUGCUAUCGAGGUUCGACUAAGCCAUGCGAGUCGAAUGUAGCAAUACAUGGCGAACUGCUCAGUAACACGUGGACAACCUGCCCUUAGGACGGGGAUAAACCCGGGAAACUGGGUAUAAUACCCGAUAGGUCUCGAUUGCUGGAAUGCAUCGAGAUUUAAGGCUCCGGCGCCUAAGGAUGGGUCUGCGGCCUAUCAGGUAGUAGUGGGUGUAGCGUACCUACUAGCCUACGACGGGUACGGGUUGUGAGAGCAAGAGCCCGGAGAUGGAUUCUGAGACACGAAUCCAGGCCCUACGGGGUGCAGCAGGCGCGAAAACUUUACAAUGCUGGCAACAGCGAUAAGGGAACCUCGAGUGCCAGGUUACAAAUCUGGCUGUCGAGAUGCCUAAAAAGCAUUUCAUAGCAAGGGCCGGGCAAGACCGGUGCCAGCCGCCGCGGUAACACCGGCGGCUCGAGUGGUAACCGUUAUUAUUGGGUCUAAAGGGUCUGUAGCCGGCCGGAUAAGUCUCUUGAGAAAUCUGGCAGCUUAACUGUCAGGCUUUCAGGAGAUACUGUCUGGCUCGAGGCCGGGAGAGGUGAGAGGUACUUCAGGGGUAGGGGUGAAAUCUUGUAAUCCUUGAAGGACCACCAGUGGCGAAGGCGUCUCACCAGAACGGACCUGACGGCAAGGGACGAAAGCUAGGGGCACGAACCGGAUUAGAUACCCGGGUAGUCCUAGCCGUAAACGAUACUCGCUAGGUGUCGGCCACGGUGCGACCGUUGUCGGUGCCGUAGGGAAGCCGUGAAGCGAGCCACCUGGGAAGUACGGCCGCAAGGCUGAAACUUAAAGGAAUUGGCGGGGGAGCACCACAACGGGUGGAGCUUGCGGUUUAAUUGGAUUCAACGCCGGG
rnacentral:rRNA from 1 species